UUCAGUGUGAAGGGAGACGCGAUAAACCAGAGAAGGUUAUCGAGCAGCGUCACCUUUGAGGCAGUAAGUCUAAUAUUAAAUCAUAAUGAGAAAGAAGUCAAACAUAAAAUACUAACAAAAGCCGGACUUGAGACGCCAUUAAGCGACCCGUUAACCCGGAUAAUAACGAAAGAAAGCAACUCCAGACACGACAGGCCGCGGUCGCUAUGGUGACCGCAUAUCAUUGAACAACCAACCAAGAGAGCCGGACUGCCGGUGGUUAUUCUGUGGCUGCGCUAAGGACUUUUGUACCGGUAUCGCAUUUGAGAGGGACAUCACCGGAUAGUUUUAAUUAAUUUACAAGCUAAGCAAUGUUUUAAAUUCACACUCGUGGGGCAAUGCAGAGGCUGUGUGUUGGGGGUAAAUAAUAUAUAUACCAUAACAAGAAGAAGAGUUAGAAAUGGGAAAAAAAAAUAAAUAAGAGGUGAUGUCGAUUUGAGGGCUGUGGAUCAAGUCAGGUAUUAUCUUGAUAAACACGAAGGAAGGGUAAAAGUGUGACUUGACAAGUUCAAGAGGCCUGUGUUCAUAUUAAGUUGAAGAGUGGCUGGGUCCUUUGCGUUGGCGAGCAAGCAAGCAUCAUCAGCAAACAAUUUACUCAAGAGGUUCGAGCAGUUGGACAAGUCGUUUAUGAAAAGGAGAAAAGCUAAUGGGCCAACUACGGAACCCUGAACAAUUCCGCAGUGGAUGGGCAACAUUGGAGAUCUGUGUGGGCCUACUUCAACAAAUUGGUAACGACCCGUCAGGUUCCUGAUUACAUAGAGAACUUCCGAAGGUGUUGUUAAUUCAAGAAAGAAAGAGUUCUGCGAAGGUACACCUAGAAAUUCGGUACAUGAUUU